rnacentral:rRNA from 1 species
CUACGGGGUGCUCCAGUAAGGAAUAUUGCGCAAUGGAGGCAACUCUGACGCAGCCAUGCCGCGUGCAGGAAGAAGGCCUUAUGGGUCGUAAACUGCUUUUAUUUAGGAAUAAACCCCCGAACGUGUUCGGGGCUGAAGGUACUAAACGAAUAAGCACCGGCUAACUCCGUGCCAGCGCCGCGGUAAUACGGAGGGUGCAAGCGUUAUCCGGAUUUAUUGGGUUUAAAGGGUGCGCAGGCGGGCAAUUAAGUCAGUGGUGAAAUCCCGGGGCUCAACUCCGGAACUGCCAUUGAUACUGAUAGUCUUGAGUUUGGUUGAAGUGGGCGGAAUGUAGCAUGUAGCGGUGAAAUGCAUAGAUAUGCUACAGAACACCAAUCGCGAAGGCAGCUCACUAAGCCAAAACUGACGCUCAUGCACGAAAGCGUGGGGAUCAAACAGGAUUAGAUACCCGCGUAGUC